rnacentral:rRNA from 1 species
GGGAGGUUCGCUUUGUCAGCCUCGUGGCUUGGCAUUGUGGUCCUUCCAUCCUUCUGUUAACGUUUCUUGGUAUUCAGUUACUGGUUUCGGGCUCAGAUAUUUUACCUUGAGAAAAAUAGAGUGUUUCAGGCAGGCUUGCGCCGGAAUACAUUAGCAUGGAAUAACGGAAUAGGACGCUUGAUUCUAUUUUGUUGGUUUCUAGGAUCAACGUA